UAUAUUUUUGCUCUAUAGUAGCAUCGAACAAAUAGUGGUACAGUCAUUGAGAAGUUAAGUAUAACUUGAAAGGAAACUAAUUUUACCAUUUUCUGAAUUCUCUAAAAUGUUAAUACAUAUUUACACAUUUACAGCAUCCAAUUCACCACCAUUAUUUAGAAGUACUUGCUGAAUUACUCCCAAUCGACAUCAAAGAAGCCAGCAUCUUUCAUUUCUGAGUAGUAUACAUUCUCCAGAUGCAAG
rnacentral:misc_RNA from 1 species